AGUGGCAUGACUGUCAUAUAGGAGGUUCAUAUUUAACUUUUUAAGAAAUGGCCACACUGUUUUCUAAAGUCAUUUUGCUCUUUUACAUUCCCACCAGCAU
rnacentral:pre_miRNA from 1 species